CUGCGCCACGACGGGAACUCCUCCAGUGGAUCUUAACAUGUGCAUUUCUCUGUUAGCAGACACUGCUUCAGAGAUUAUGGCACUUAAAACCAGGAGUUAGGGAGUUCCCUGGUGGUGUAGCAGGUUAAGGAUCUGGUACUGCUGCUGCUAUGGCUCAGGUUGCUCUGUGGCUUGCGUUCAACCCCUGGCCUGAGAACAUCUGCAUGCCAUGCAAUAAACAAACAAACAAAAACAACCCCAAAACCAGGAGUUAGGAAGACUGGAUUCUCCUCUAAAUUGGCUUUGGGAGCCCCCAAAGUUACGAAGCUUAUCUCCUAGCCCUUUCAACUAGAAAAUUCUUCCACUCUCAAUUGUUCCUCAGGCCUGAGUUCUCUAUCCUCCACACAGUUGGCUUUCCUUGUUACUGGUAGGACUUGCCACAGAAUGGGGACCUGCCCUGUGCUGGCCAGUCUACCAGCUGCCUUAUCUUCUGCCCUGUUAGUCAGUAGUUAGACUCAUAUUUCUUCCUAUUUACUUCUCCCCAGAUCCUUCAAUCAGUCAUUUUAGUAGUAGUUUUUGAGUGCCAGGUAUGUGUGGGACCUAAUUUCUGGGUAUAAAUGAAGAAGCUUAAAAUAUUUGUGUUUUCUGACCUUCUAGGCCUUAGGGUCCCAUGUGAGUGAGGCAGACAAUAAAUGAGAAAAACGUUAAAAAUUGUAAAAUGAAGAAGGGCUGUGGAGGAGACCAACACAGGCUUUCUUUAUGCCCAUAGUGUUCUCCAAAGCUCCAGCUGCAGCUCUUGUAGCUGAAUGUAAAUUUGGCCUUGAGUUUGAGACCAGGUAAUCCUGGUACCUGCAAACUGCAGAAUCUACAUUUCCACAGCCAUGACCUUUGAGAGGCUCUUCAAGGUCAGAUAUGCAUGAGAAGGUUGAGCAGGAAUGUGGCAUCUCUUAGGUUUCCUGAACAUUCAAAACAUAUUAUGUGUAGGAUACUGUUUCAUAAAAGGUAUAGAUAGGCCCAUUAUUUUCAAUCUUUCUCUCUCUUACAUACCUCAAAAUGCAUUUUUUUAAAUACUGUACCCCAUUUAUUCAGUCUUCAUGAUUCAUACAGUCGAGGUUUCCAGUUUCUGGAACCUCUGAGACCUAAGUUAUACAUUGGCCCUUUAAGAGGAACUCAUUAACUCCUAGUUAAGGAGAAGAUUCCAGAAAGGUGCGGAGAGACAAGCCAAAGAUCAGCUGGAACCAAUGAAUGACAACCCUCUAGCUCCCAAAGCCAGUUUGGGUUUGCAGGCUCCUGGAGUAGCCGGUUCUUAAGGUGUUUUUCAGUCCAUCCCUGCUUUUUGGUGAAAGUUCUAGCUUGGAGUUGGUUUUGUGGCUGGGUUCUUCGUGGUCAGCAACUGUGCAGCAUGGGGGCAAUAAUCUUGCAAGCAAACAGCAAGAGAGCGCAAAAUUGAAGAGCCUCGAGGGGCUGGUUCCUGAGCAACCAAGAGGAAGAGCCCUAGGAAAAGGUCCAGAGAGCUUCGGAGCCUUUGAAGGUGGGGAGAUUACCGGAAUUUAGGAGGCGAAACAGACCUGCAGCUCAAGUUGAAAUGAUGGACAACUUGACCCUGACAAGGCCUUCCAAUAAUUUGAGAUGCUGUUGGCUGUCUGGAGGGUAAGGAUGGUGGCCAGCAAGUUCUGGAGCUACCCACAUUCUUCUAGCUUGACAUCCCACAGGAAAGAGAGCCUUGUUUUAGCAUCGCCAGCAAUAGCUCCAAGGUUUGUUCCUUCCGAAUCAACUAUGUAGACCUUCGAACAUAACUCUGUAUAGCUGUGAAAACCUGAUUACUUGAUUGGCUUAGAUCUUAGUCAAAUGCUCUAUACAGAGAGAGAGGUAAGAGCUUUAACCAGACUAUCUGCAGUAGAGGUGGGAGAAUCCGGGAGGAAGCAGCCCCUCCAUAAAUAGCAGAGUUGUUGCCAAAAGAGGAAAGAGUAGUCACAGAGGUACCCACUAUGUCUUUCUUAAUACGGGAAGUACGAUUGAAUCUUAUUCAUAUGGCAAUUCUUUCAAAAGGUUGUGUUCAUUUUCAGUCAGUGAUGGUUCACCUCUUUAAACAGCUGUAAAUGUCAAAAUUAUAAUUUUAACCUUUUGUUGAAAAUUUUAUGGUACUUUAUUAUAUCUUAAAUGAUAAUCAUAUCAUCUAUGUUCUUAUUACUUCAGAGUAAUCGUUAGGAGUCUCUGUUGUUGCAGUAAGUUACAUUCCAAUAUAAUUAGGGUCUUUGAGAAAUACAGGGCUGUUGGCUUUUUAAAAAUU